rnacentral:rRNA from 1 species
GUGUCAGCAGCCGCGGUAAUACGUAGGGGGCAAGCGUUGUCCGGAUUUAUUGGGCGUAAAGAGCUCGUAGGCGGCUUGGCAAGUCGGGUGUGAAAACUCCAGGCUCAACCUGGAGAUGCCACUCGAGACUGCUAUGGCUAGAGUCCGGUAGGGGACCACGGAAUUCCUGGUGUAGCGGUGAAAUGCGCAGAUAUCAGGAGGAACACCGGUGGCGAAGGCGGUGGUCUGGGCCGGCACUGACGCUGAGGAGCGAAAGCGUGGGGAGCAAACAGGAUUAGAAACCCUAGUAGUCC